CCCGCCGGCGACCGGCGCACGGGUGAGUAACACGUAUGGAACCUGCCCGCAGCAGGGGGAUAAGCGGAAGAAAUUCCGUCUAAUACCGCGUAACACCGCAGAGGGGCAUCCCUCGGCGGUUAAAGAUUCAUCGGCUGCGGAUGGCCAUGCGGCGCAUUAGCUAGUCGGCGGGGUAACGGCCCACCGAGGCGACGAUGCGUAGGGGUUCUGAGAGGAAGGUCCCCCACAUUGGAACUGAGACACGGUCCAAACUCCUACGGGAGGCAGCAG
rnacentral:rRNA from 1 species